rnacentral:sRNA from 1 species
GUUCAUAUCUACUCCCAUAAAAUAAUACGAUGUUUUGUGCAAAGCACAAAACUCGAAGAUAAACAGUGAGGCUGUAUUUCUGCCGAACUGUUUAUCGAUA